rnacentral:rRNA from 1 species
GGCUCAGGAUGAACGCUGGCGGCGUGCCUAAUACAUGCAAGUCGAGCGAACGGACGAGAAGCUUGCUUCUCUGAUGUUAGCGGCGGACGGGUGAGUAACACGUGGAUAACCUACCUAUAAGACUGGGAUAACUUCGGGAAACCGGAGCUAAUACCGGAUAAUAUUUUGAACCGCAUGGUUCAAAAGUGAAAGACGGUCUUGCUG